GUCUGGUUAGAAAAUAAAAUCAGUCUAGCCUGCCCACUGAGUAGUUUAAAGGCCGCGGUAUCCUGACCGUGCGAAGGUAGCAUAAUAAUUAGUCUUUUAAUUGAAGACUGGAAUGAAAGGCUGGACAAAGAAUAAGCUGUUUCAAGUCUUACCAUUGAACUUAACUUUUAAGUGAAAAGGCUUAAAUACCUUAGGGGGACGACAAGACCCUGUAAAACUUUACAUACUCCAAAAUAAACCAUAAUUUAUUUAUAAAAUAAUCGUUUAUUUUUAUGUGUGUUUCGUUGGGGCGACGAGAGUAUAAACCUAACUACUCUUAUAUAAAACAAUUAUAUUUGAUUACAUUAUGAUCCUUAUUUUAGAUUUCAAGAAAUAAGUUACUUUAGGGAUAACAGCGUAAUUUUCUUUGAGAGUUCCUAUCGACAAAAAAAUUUGCGACCUCGAUGUUGAAUUAAAUCCCUUUAUAGUGCAGCAACUAUAUAAAGGAGGUCUGUUCGACCUUUAAUUUUUUACAUGAUUUGAGUUCAAACCGGUGUGAG
rnacentral:rRNA from 1 species